rnacentral:rRNA from 1 species
UACGGGGGGGGCAAGCGUUGUUCGGAAUUACUGGGCGUAAAGGGCUCGUAGGCGGCCAACUAAGUCGGACGUGAAAUCCCUCGGCUUAACCGGGGAACUGCGUCCGAUACUGGAUGGCCUGAGUUCGGGAGAGGGAUGCGGAAUUCCAGGUGUAGCGGUGAAAUGCGUAGAUAUCUGGAGGAACACCUGUGGCGAAAGCGGCGCACUGGACCACAACUGACGCUGAGGCGCGAAAGCUAGGGGAGCAAACAGG